rnacentral:rRNA from 1 species
GAUGAACGCUGGCGGCGUGCUUAACACAUGCAAGUCGAACGUGAGAGGUAGCAAUAUCUUGAAAGUGGCGAACGGGUGAGUAACACGUAGGUAACCUGCCUCGGAGUGGGGGAUAACAGUUAGAAAUGACUGCUAAUACCGCAUGAAUCCAUGGAUUAGGGAUAAUCGAUGGAGAAAACUCUGGUGCUUCGAGAGGGGCCUGCGGCCGAUUAGCUAGUUGGUGGGGUAAAGGCCUACCAAGGCGACGAUCGGUAGCUGGUCUGAGAGGACGAUCAGCCACACGGGAACUGAGACACGGUCCCGACUCCUACGGGGGGCAGCAGUGAGGAAUAUUGGGCAAUGGGCGGAAGCCUGACCCAGCAACGCCGCGUGGAGGAAUGAAGGCCUUCGGGUUGUAAACUCCUUUGCAGGGGAAGAGGAAGGGACGGUACCCGUGCGAAUAAGUCACGGCUAACUACGUGCCAGCAGCCGCGGUAAU